rnacentral:rRNA from 1 species
ACGCUCGACACCUACGGGAGGCAGCAGUCGGGAAUAUUGCGCAAUGGAGGAAACUCUGACGCAGUGACGCCGCGUAUAGGAAGAAGGUUUUCGGAUUGUAAACUAUUGUCGUUAGGGAAGAAAAAAGACAGUACCUAAGGAGGAAGCUCCGGCUAACUACGUGCUAGCAGCCGNGGUAAUCUGAGCGGGCUGGCAAGGC